rnacentral:rRNA from 1 species
UGGGGAAUAUUGGACAAUGGGGGCAACCCUGAUCCAGCAAUGCCGCGUGUGUGAAGAAGUCUUCGGAUUGUAAAGCACUUUCGACGGGGACGAUGAUGACGGUACCCGUAGAAGAAGCCCCGGCUAACUUCGUGCCAGCAGCCGCGGUAAUACGAAGGGGGCUAGCGUUGCUCGGAAUGACUGGGCGUAAAGGGCGUGUAGGCGGUUUACACAGUCAGAUGUGAAAUCCCCGGGCUUAACCUGGGAGCUGCAUUUGAUACGUGUAGACUAGAGUGUGAGAGAGGGUUGUGGAAUUCCCAGUGUAGAGGUGAAAUUCGUAGAUAUUGGGAAGAACACCGGUGGCGAAGGCGGCAACCUGGCUCAUGACUGACGCUGAGGCGCGAAAGCGUGGGGAGCAAACAGGAUUAGAUACCCUGGUAGUCCACGCUGUAAA